rnacentral:misc_RNA from 1 species
GAAAUGCGAUAAGUAAUGUGAAUUGCAGAAUUCAGUGAAUCAUCGAAUCUUUGAACGCACAUUGCGCCCGCCAGUAUUCUGGCGGGCAUGCCUGUCCGAGCGUUAUUUCAACCAUCAAGCCCCCGGGCUUGUGUUGGGGACCUGCGGCUGCCCGCAGGCCCUGAAAACCAGUGGCGGGCUCGCUGUCACACCGAGCGUAGUAGCAAUCACCUCGCUCAGGGCGUGCUGCGGGUUCCGGCCGUUAAACAGCCUUACAAAACCCAAGGUUGACCUCGGAUCAGGUAGGAAGACCCGCUGAACUUAAGC